rnacentral:rRNA from 1 species
GGGUCGAAGCGGAGAAUUUAAGCCCCAGUAAACGGCGGUGGUAACUAUAACCAUCCUAAGGUAGCGAAAUUCCUUGUCGGGUAAGUUCCGACCUGCACGAAUGGCGUAACGACUUCCCUGCUGUCUCAACCACAGACCCGGCGAAAUUGCAGUACGAGUAAAGAUGCUCGUUACGCGCGGCAGGACGAAAAGACCCCGGGACCUUCACUAUAGCUUGGUAUUGGUGUUCGGUUCGGUUUGUGUAGGAUAGGUGGGAGACUGUGAUGCCUCAACGCCAGUUGGGGUGGAGUCGUUGUUGAAAUACCACUCUGAUCGUAUUGGACAUCUCAACCUCGGCCCGUGAUCCGGGUUAGGGACAGUGCCUGGUGGGUAGUUUAACUGGGGCGGUUGCCUCCCAAAGAGUAACGGAGGCGCCCAAAGGUUCCCUCAGCCUGGUUGGCAAUCAGGUGUUGAGUGUAAGUGCACAAGGGAGCUUGACUGUGAGACUGACAGGUCGAGCAGGUAGGAAACUAGGGACUAGUGAUCCGGCACCGGCUUGUGGAAGCGGUGUCGCUCAACGGAUAAAAGGUACCCCGGGGAUAACAGGCUGAUCUUCCCCAAGAGUCCAUAUCGACGGGAUGGUUUGGCACCUCGAUGUCGGCUCGUCGCAUCCUGGGGCUGGAGUAGGUCCCAAGGGUUGGGCUGUUCGCCCAUUAAAGCGGCACGCGAGCUGGGUUUAGAACGUCGUGAGACAGUUCGGUCUCUAUCCGCCGCGCGCGUAGAAACUUGAGGAAGGCUGUCCCUAGUACGAGAGGACCGGGAUGGACGUACCUCUGGUGUGCCAGUUGUCCCGCCUGGGGCAUGGCUGGUUGGCUACGUACGGAAGGGAUAACCGCUGAAAGCAUCUAAGCGGGAAGCCUGUUCCAAGAUUAGGUUUCUUUUGAGGUCCCCUAUAGAUGAUGGGGUUGAUAGGCCGGAUCUGGAAGCAUCGUAAGGUGUGGAGGUGACCGGUACUAAUAGACCAAACAUUCAACACA